AUAUUGCACAAUGGGCGAAAGCCUGAUGCAGCAACGCCGCGUGAGUGAUGAAGGCCUNNNGGUCGNAAAGCUCUUUGAUCAGGNAGANUAAUGACAGUACCUGAAAAACAAGCGACGGCUAACUACGCGCCAGCAGCCGCGGUAAUACGUAGGUGGCGAGCGUAGUCCGGAAUUACUGGGCGUAAAGGAUGCGUAGGUGGAUAUUUAAGUGGGAUGUGAAAUACCCGCGCUCAACCCGGGAACUGCAUGCCAAACUGGGUAUCUAGAGUGCAGGAGAGGAAAGCGGAAUUCCUAGUGUAGCGGUGAAAUGCGUAGAUAUUAGGAGGAACACCAGUGGCGAAGGCGGCUUUCUGGACUGUAACUGACACUGAGGCAUGAAAGCGUGGGUAGCAAACAGG
rnacentral:rRNA from 1 species